rnacentral:rRNA from 1 species
GAUGAACGCUGGCGGCGUGCCUAAUACAUGCAAGUCGAGCGAACGGACGAGAAGUUUGCUUCUCUGAUGUUAGCGGCGGACGGGUGAGUAACACGUGGAUAACCUACCUAUAAGACUGGGAUAACUUCGGGAAACCGGAGCUAAUACCGGAUAAUAUUUUGAACCGCAUGGUUCAAAAGUGAAAGACGGUCUUGCUGUCACUUAUAGAUGGAUCCGCGCUGCAUUAGCUAGUUGGUAAGGUAACGGCUUACCAAGGCAACGAUGCAUAGCCGACCUGAGAGGGUGAUCGUCCACACUGGAACUGAGACACGGUCCAGACUCCUACGGGAGGCAGCAGUAGGGAAUCUUCCGCAAUGGGCGAAAGCCUGACGGAGCAACGCCGCGUGAGUGAUGAAGGUCUUCGGAUCAUAAAACUCUGUUAUUAGGGAAGAACAUAUGUGUAAGUAACUGUGCACAUCUUGACGGUACCUAAUCAGAAAGCCACGGCUAACUACGUG